rnacentral:rRNA from 1 species
UACGAAGGAGGCUAGCGUUGUUCGGAAUUACUGGGCGUAAAGCGCACGUAGGCGGAUUGUUAAGUUAGGGGUGAAAUCCCAGGGCUCAACCCUGGAACUGCCUCAAAUACUGGCAAUCUCGAGUUCGAGAGAGGUGAGUGGAAUUCCGAGUGUAGAGGUGAAAUUCGUAGAUAUUCGGAGGAACACCAGUGGCGAAGGCGGCUCACUGGCUCGAUACUGACGCUGAGGUGCGAAAGCGUGGGGAGCAAACAGG